rnacentral:rRNA from 1 species
GCAGCCAUGCCGCGUGUGCGAAGAAGGCCUUCGGGUUGUAAAGCACUUUCAGUUGUGAGGAAAAGUUAGUAGUUAAUACCUGCUAGCCGUGACGUUAACAACAGAAGAAGCACCGGCUAACUCCGUGCCAGCAGCCGCGGUAAUACGGAGGGUGCGAGCGUUAAUCGGAAUUACUGGGCGUAAAGUGCACGCAGGCGGUUUGUUAAGCUAGAUGUGAAAGCCCCGGGCUCAACCUGGGAUGGUCAUUUAGAACUGGCAGACUAGAGUCUUGGAGAGGGGAGUGGAAUUCCAGGUGUAGCGGUGAAAUGCGUAGAUAUCUGGAGGAACAUCAGUGGCGAAGGCGACUCCCUGGCCAAAGACUGACGCUCAUGUGCGAAAGUGUGGGUAGCGAACAGGAUUAGAUACCCUGGUAGUCCACACCGUAAACGCUGUCUACUAGCUGUUUGUGACUUUAAGUCGUGAGUAGCGAAGCUAACGCGCUAAGUAGACCGCCUGGGGAGUACGGCCGCAAGGUUAAAACUCAAAUGAAUUGACGGGG